GGAGAGUGGGCCGGACGGCAAGGCACAAGUUUGCUAAACUUGCAGGGUGAAUAGCCCUGAAUGGGUUCGACUCCCAUACUCUCCG
rnacentral:tRNA from 1 species